CGUGCUAUCGACAAUCGUUCAUUAGAAAGUGAUCAGGCUAUGUGAAAAUAUCUUCAAUUGCAGAAUCGGUAACAGGGUUUAGAUUAGAAAAUAGAGACGAAAAGUGUAUACGAGGUUGGGUUUUGUCAGAGGAAAUCCUUCAGCAAUUCAUUGAAGUACGUUCAAUCAGCACGGGAUGUCAAUUUGUGUCGUGGUCAAUAUAUACCAGAUACCACACUUUUACAGUUCUUGAGAAUAACAUACUUGAAAAGCUGUUGAGAGAAUAUCCAGUGUAAGUUUUAGGCAUGCCCAUCUUAAAUCAAUGUCUUGAUGAAGGAGGCCCUAUUCCUUGGUCUGUGUUUGAGAACUGGAAUGCCAAUUAAUAGAAGAGGCAGAGAAAAGAUCAGUCAACAAACAGAAAUGUCUAUGAAGAGGGCCAAAAGAAAACAAAACAAUUGAAAUGUAUACAUGUAUUGCAUGCUGGUAUUACUGUAUCAGUACUUAGUCUAAUUAUCUGCAAUCUUAAUGUCACAUUUAAUGCAUUGCUGAUGCAUGUAGUUACAAUAAACAUAACUGGUGUUAUAUUUGAAAUUUAAGAAUUUGUUUAAUUGUUACCAUA